UCGGGGUCACUCUGCUGUGCUGAAAUGUGGGAGAAGUUCAGACUGCAUAUCUACCCCUGGCCUGAGGAGACAGCAAACUCAAACCGCAAGUACACUUGUUUUGUUUUUGUUGUUGUUUUGUUUUGCAUAGGGUAUCCUGUAGCUCACACUCACCAUACACUAGGUAUGUAACCAAAGGUGACCCUAAACUUCUGAUCCUCCUGCCUCCACCUCCCCAGUGCUGGAAUGACAGGUUUGUGCCACCAUACUGGGUUUCUGUUGUGCUGAGGAAAGCCUUGUGCAUGCUGGGCAGGCACUCUACCAACCAAGCCACAUCCCCAGCCCUGAAAUAGUUUCUAUUGAAUGAAUGUUGCUUAUAUACUGUGGGAGAGGAAAACAAAAUGUCAAAACUUAGUAAGACAGGAUCUGUUUGAACUUUCUUUCCUUUUUUAAGUGGGAUGGAAAAAUGGCUGAGUGGUUCACGUGAUUGCUGCCCAACUGUAAGGAAUGGACUUCAGGACCCCAGAAAUCCAUGGAAAUGCCCCAAAGGUUGGGGUCAGCCUCAGAAGGUGGAGAAGAAGGAUCCCCAGAGCAAGACUAGCCAGCCACACAGGAUGAGACACUCCUCCACUACUCCUCUACUCCCACCGUGGUGAUGUCGAGAACAUGAAUGGAACCCUCUGAGUCUGUGAACCAGAAGAGACCCUUCCAGUGGAGAGACGCUUCAGUCAGCAAAGCACUGGCUGUGUGAGCUUGAGGAAGGGCCUGAGUUCUAUCUGCAGCUCCUAUGUACAGCAAGCCAGAAAGGGAAAGGAUCCAUCUGGUAAUCAGAUUGCAAGCCA
rnacentral:lncRNA from 1 species